AGAGUUUGAUCCUGGCUCAAGAUGAACCUUUGCGGUGUGCCUAAUACAUGCAAGUCGAACGGUGACUAUUUUGUAGCAAUACGAAUGAAAUCAUAGUGGCGAACGGGUGAGUAACGCGUUGGUGAUCUGCCUCGAAGUGUGGAAUAACUUCCCGAAAGGGUAGCUAAUACCGCAUACUCUCUCAAGGUUUAAAAAAUUGAGAGUAAAGGAUUUAUUCGCUUCGAGAGGAGCCUGCGUCCCAUCAGCUAGUUGGUAGGGUAAUAGCCUACCAAGGCAAUGACGGGUAGGGGACCUGAGAGGGUGGCCCCCCACAAUGGAACUGAAACACGGUCCAUACACCUACGGGUGGCAGCAGUAGGGAAUAUUAGAAAUGGGCGAAAGCCUGAUCUAGCAACACCGCGUGUGCGAUGAAGGCCUUCGGGUUGUAAAGCACUUUUUGGAGGGAAUAGGAAGGAAGGUACCUCCAGAAUAAGUCUCGGCUAACUACGUGCCAGCAGCCGCGGUAACACGUAGGAGGCAAACGUUAUCCGGAUUCACUGGGCGUAAAGCGCGUGUAGGUGGUUCUGUAAGUAGGGCGUGAAAGCUCCCGGCUCAACUGGGAGAGGCCGUACUAAACUGCAGAGCUAGAGGAUGGUAGAGGGAGGUGGAAUUCCAGGUGUAGUGGUGAAAUGCGCAGAUAUCUGGAGGAACACCAGUGGCGAAGGCGGCCUCCUGGACCAUUCCUGACACUCAGACGCGAAAGCUAGGGUAGCAAACGGAAUGAGAGACUCCGGUAGUCCUAGCCCUAAACGAUGCAGACAAGGGGUCGGCGGGUUUAAUCCCCGUCGGUGUCCAAGCUAACGCGAUAAGUCUCCCGCCUGAGGACUACGGCCGCAAGGCUAAAACUCAAAGGAAUUGACGGGUCCCCGCACAAGCAGCGGAGCGUGUGGUUUAAUUCGAUGCUCCGCGAAGAACCUUACCUGGGUUUGACAUAACAGUGGUAGAGAAGUGAAAACGGAUCGACCCUUCGGGGAGCUGUUACAGGUGUUGCAUGCCUGUCGUCAGCUCGUGUCGUGAGAUGUUCGGUUAAGUCCGCUAACGAGCGCAACCCGCGCUGUGUGUUACAAGUGUCACACAGUACCGCCGGUAUUAAGUCGGAGGAAGGUGCGGAUGACGUCAAGUCAGCAUGACCUUUAUGUCCAGGGCUACACACACGCUACAAUGGUCAGAACAAUAGGUUGCCAAGCCGCAAGGCGGAGCCAAUCCUCCAAAUCUGGCCUCAGUUCAGAUUGCAGGCUGCAACUCGCCUGCAUGAAGUCGGAGUUGCUGGUAACCGCAGGUCAGCAUACUGCGGUGAAUACGUUCCCGGGGAUUGCACAAACCGCCCGUCA
rnacentral:rRNA from 1 species